GCCAGACUCCUACGGGAGGCAGCAGUGGGGGAUAUUGCACAAUGGGGGAAACCCUGAUGCAGCGACGCCGCGUGGGUGAAGAAGCGCCUCGGCGCGUAAAGCCCUGUCAGCAGGGAAGAAAAUGACGGUACCUGAAGAAGAAGCCCCGGCUAACUACGUGCCAGCAGCCGCGGUAAUACGUAGGGGGCAAGCGUUAUCCGGAUUUACUGGGUGUAAAGGGAGCGUAGACGGCGAUGCAAGCCAGAUGUGAAAGCCCGGGGCUCAACCCCGGGACUGCAUUUGGAACUGUGUGGCUGGAGUGUCGGAGAGGCAGGCGGAAUUCCUAGUGUAGCGGUGAAAUGCGUAGAUAUCAGGAGGAACACCGGUGGCGAAGGCGGCUUACUGGACCAUGACUGACGUUGAGGCUCGAAAGCGUGGGGAGCGAACAGGAUUAGAUACCCGAGUA
rnacentral:rRNA from 1 species